rnacentral:tRNA from 1 species
AUUUAUAUAGGUUUAACUAAAAACAUUACAUUUUCACUGUAAAAAAUAAAAAUUAAUUUUUCAUAAUAU